GGAUUAGAAACCCCGGUAGUCCAUGCCGUAAACGGUGGGCGCUAGGUGUGAGGGUCUUUUCACGACUUUCGUGCCGUAGCUAACGCAUUAAGCGCCCCGCCUGGGGAGUACGGCCGCAAGGCUAAAACUCAAAGGAAUUGACGGGGGCCCGCACAAGCGGCGGAGCAUGUGGAUUAAUUCGAUGCAACGCGAAGAACCUUACCUGGGCUUGACAUACACCGGAUCGGGCUAGAGAUAGUCUUUCCCUUUGUGGCUGGUGUACAGGUGGUGCAUGGUUGUCGUCAGCUCGUGUCGUGAGAUGUUGGGUUAAGUCCCGCAACGAGCGCAACCCUUGUCUUAUGUUGCCAGCAUUUGGUUGGGGACUCAUGAGAGACUGCCGGGGUCAACUCGGAGG
rnacentral:rRNA from 1 species